UCGGAUGUGGUGUAGUGUAACACGGCCUCCCUCCCUGAAGUCCCCGCGAGGGAAUUGUUAUAGGAGGCAAUCCCGGGUUCGACUCCCGGCGUCCGAA